rnacentral:rRNA from 1 species
UUUGGAGGGCAAGUCUGGUGCCAGCAGCCGCGGUAAUUCCAGCUCCAAUAGCGUAUAUUAAAGUUGUUGCAGUUAAAAAGCUCGUAGUUGAAUUUCGGGGUUAGUAGGUUGGUCAUGCCUCUGGUAUGUACUGGUCUCACUGAUUCCUCCUUCCUGACGAACCUUAAUGCCAUUAAUUUG